UUCCCGGGCCUUGUACACACCGCCCGUCACACCGCGAAAGUCGGCAACACCCGAAGCCGGUGGCCUAACCCGCAAGGGAGGGAGCCGUCGAAGGUGGGGUCGAUGAUUGGGUG
rnacentral:rRNA from 1 species